GUGACGAAGCGACGCCGCGUGAGCGAAGAAGGCCCUAGGGUUGUAAAGCUCUGUCAGGGGUUAAGAAAUGCAGGCAGGUUAAUACCCUGUUUGUUUGACAAAGGCCCCAAAGGAAGCCACGGCUAACUCUGUGCCAGCAGCCGCGGUAAUACAGAGGUGGCGAGCGUUGUUCGGUAUUAUUGGGCGUAAAGAGCACGUAGGUGGUUUUGUAAGUCAGAUGUGAAAGCCUUCUGUUCAAAGGAAGAACGGCAUCUGAAACUGCUGAUCUCGAGUGUAGGAGGGGAGAGUGGAACUUCUGGUGGAGCGGUGAAAUGCGUAGAUAUCAGAAGGAACGUCGGCGGCGAAAGCGACUCUCUGGCCUAUUACUGACACUGAGUGUGCGAAAGUUAGGGGAGCAAACGGGAUUAGAUACCCCGGUAGUCCUAACCGUAAACGAU
rnacentral:rRNA from 1 species